UACAGAGGUCCCAAGCGUUGUUCGGAUUCACUGGGCGUAAAGGGUGCGUAGGUGGUGAGGUAAGUCGGAUGUGAAAGCUCGGAGCUCAACUCCGAAAUGGCAUUGGAAACUACCCUGCUAGAGGGUCGGAGGGGGGACUGGAAUACUUGGUGUAGCAGUGAAAUGCGUAGAUAUCAAGUGGAACACCAGUGGCGAAGGCGGCUCUCUGGGACGGUACUGACGCUGAGACGCGAAAGCGUGGGGAGCGAACAGG
rnacentral:rRNA from 1 species